rnacentral:rRNA from 1 species
UACAGAGGGUGCAAACGUUGUUCGGAAUUACUGGGCGUAAAGCGCGUGUAGGCGGCUUGGCAAGUCGGAUGUGAAAGCCCAGGGCUCAACCCUGGAAGUGCACUCGAAACUGCCGAGCUUGAGUCCCGGAGAGGAAGGCGGAAUUCUCGGUGUAGAGGUGAAAUUCGUAGAUAUCGAGAGGAACACCUGUGGCGAAGGCGGCCUUCUGGACGGUGACUGACGCUGAGACGCGAAAGCGUGGGGAGCAAACAGG